CCUACGGGUGGCAGCAGUGAGGAAUAUUGGUCAAUGGACGAGAGUCUGAACCAGCCAAGUAGCGUGAAGGAUGACUGCCCUAUGGGUUGUAAACUUCUUUUAUAAAGGAAUAAAACGAGGCACGUGUGCCUGUUUGCAUGUACUUUAUGAAUAAGGAUCGGCUAACUCCGUGCCAGCAGCCGCGGUAAUACGGAGGAUCCGAGCGUUAUCCGGAUUUAUUGGGUUGAAAGGGAGCGUAGAUGGGUUGUUAAGUCAGUUGUGAAAGUUUGCGGCUCAACCGUAAAAUUGCAAUUGAUACUGGCAGUCUUGAGUACAGUUGAGGUAGGCGGAAUUCGUGGUGUAGCGGUGAAAUGCUUAGAUAUCACGAAGAACCCCGAUUGCGAAGGCAGCUUACUAAACUGUGACUGACAUUGAUGCUCGAAAGUGUGGGUAUCAAACAGGAUUAGAUACCCUAGUAGUC
rnacentral:rRNA from 1 species